AGCCCUGCGAUCCCCGGUAGCGAGGACACUUCCCGGCGGCUUUCCCCCCACCCAGUCUGCCUGCAGCCUGCCAGGUCACCUGCGGGCUCUCUUUGUUUGUCAUUUGCAGGGCGGGAGGCUCCGACCAGGGCGCGGACCUGGACCUCAGUGCUAUGUCCGGGCGGCCCACACACACACGCACACACACCCACCCACACACACACCGCGUGUGCCUCCGUCAGGAUCUUUCCCCCUUUUUUCCUCCCCUUUCUUUUAUAGGUUACUCCCGGGUCCCAUCAUAUUGUUCUGGGAAAGAUAGAAAGAUUGGGGGGGGGGGGGGGAAGUCGCGUCGCAAUUUAUUCCAAUGGGUGGUUUUUAAGAAGCUGGCAAUUUGAGACGGCUGGGUGUUAUUUAGUGCAAUAUGAAAUCAAAUGAUCCUAUUUCUCAAAUAACAGUGUGUGUGUGAGCGAGGAGAAGUGAAUACUCUGAAAGGGUAAUUGUCUCCUGAUGAUAUUUCCAUUAUACCCCGAUCCGGACCAAACGCUAUUCAGCUGCCCGGCGGAAAGCAGAAGGGUAAAAUCAAAAGAAAAGAAAAGAAAAGAAAAGAAAAGAAAAGAAAAGAAAAGAAAAGAAAAGAAAAGAAAACAGUCAGGCCCCUCUGCAUUUUAGCAGAUGGAAUGGAUUCCUUGCAUUCUGGACAGUGCCCAAUCCCCACCUGAAGCUGUUAAGCCAAAACCAUUCUAGUGGGGUAUCAUUUAUUAUUAUUAUUAUUAUUAUUAUCGCCCUUGUCAUCGCCAUCAUUAUUGCUGCUACUACUACUACUACUAUUAUUAUUAUUAUUAUUAGUAGUAGUAGUAGUAGUAAUAUUUUGAAUGGAGGAACGACACUAACUUCUCUCCACUCCUUGAAACUUUUCAGCCUGAGUCCCUGUCCUGUGGUGCGAGGCGCUGACACGGCUAUAGCUCAGUGGAAAUCCUGAUCAGACAGAAAUGUUUAAGCAUUGUGCCUGAUACAAAAGAAAACACAUUUAGCCCGCGAUGGCAGCUAAUCGCUCUGAAGGCUGUUUAUUAUGAAAACUGACACAAUUCACCUUUAAAAGCAGCGCCUCACAUUUCAAACCGCAGUGCUAAAUAGAACCCAAGCGGGAGUCAAGGUAAGGUGCCUGGUGCGAGGCAGAGACACGCUGCUAGGAGCUGUCCACCUUUUCAGCACCAGCAGUUAGGUUUACGUGCAGAGCCGGCUGCUGGAAAAUUACGGUACGAUGGCAUAAUCCUCCACAGUUACAUAAAAAGUGGGGUGGGGGAGGAAACAAAGUUGCUGGGACAUUUUCAAUCGGAGACCUGAGUCCCCGUGGGCUGUUAUGUCUGGUGACUUGAAUGGCACGGCGCCCCUGCUCGCUGGGACUGAAGACAGCGGAGCGUUCCCCUGUCGGACACAUCACGGAUGCUUCUUCAGGGCAGGAGCAGCUCCGAGGGGUCGCCUGCGCUUUCGGGGGUCGGUAAAAUUACGGUUACUGAGCAAAUGACUGACUCCCACCCACUUCAAGGGUUUACAGUUCUCUUACGCUGUGCUGUUACAUGUAUUCAGAGUCCAGAGAUCCGGGAUCAUCAUGUGUAUAUGUCUGCUUGUGGAUGCGCGUGUAUAUGUCAGUGAUGUGUGUGUGUGUGUGUGUGUGUGUGUGGGUGUGUGGUCAGUGAUUUCACAUGUACACAAUCAAAAAAUCGGUGAUAUUAUACACACACAUAUACAUACAUAUUCACGCGUAUAUAAAUCGGUGAGCUAUGUACACAUACACACAUACAUAUAUAAAUCGGUGAUACUAUAUAUAUAUACAUACACAAAUCAGUGAUACACACGCAUACACACAUAUAUAGGUGAUAUAUAUACGCACACACACAUACAUACAUAUAUAUAAAUCGGUGAGAUAGACACACACACACAUACAUAUACACACCUAUAUAUACAUAUAUAUACAUACACACAUACACUCAUAAUAGAUAGACACACACAUACAUUGGUCUAAUAAAAGAUAUCAGAUUUACCCAAAGAACCUUGUCUGCCUAUAUAAAUCGGUGAUAUUAUGUACACACACAUACAUCCCUAUAUAUAUGUGUGUGUGUGUAUAUAUGUGUGUAUGUAUAUGUGUAUAUAUGACCAGAAUUUACAUAGAUAACACAUUUGCAUAUAGGUGUAUGUCUUUGCAGACACACACGCAUGCACACGCAGACACGCACACGCACACGCACGCCUGUGUGUGCAUGUGGACAGAUAGACAACCCUGCGUAACAGACAGCACGCACACAUUUGAGUAAGCUUCUGUACCCUGCGCGGGUCUCUCUGUUUUCCCUUGUAGAGCGGUACCUUCCUGGCCCGGGAGGGGAAGGCAAGACACCGACUAGGAUUCCUCCUGCUUCCCCCGUGCCAAGCCCGGCUGGAGCGGCGCUCCCCUCGGCGGCGCGGUGCUGCUUCCCACAUGCUCAGGCGCGCGGCUCCCGGCGCUCUCAGAGUGGGAGCCGGGGAAGGCUUCUUCGACUCCGGUCGCUGCUUCAUAUCCUAAAGCAGGCAACCAGCCCGCGGCAAACUUCUCCUCCAGCCGUCGGGCCAUCAGGAGACCGGGACUUCGGUUAUUUAUAGGGACUGCUGAUCACAUUCUCUCAAUAACCCUUGAAAAGCAGCAGGGAUUCAGCGAAAUAGCUCGGACGGUGCUGUGCUGGCGGAGGGGCUGGACGGCCGAGCAAGAAGGGAAGCCCCGAGGUGGCCCCAGACAACCUGCAACUCUCCGAGUAGCCGGCGCCGCGGAGGAAAGCUGUCGCGGACCUGGAGGGAUGGCUCUGGGCACGUGCAGACGCGGGGUGGGCGCUGCCUUGCCAGCCUGGUCGCAGGAGAAGGUUCGUGCUGCCAAAGGGCCGGGGUAGUGAAGCAUAAGGUGGCAGCAGCAGCCUGACAAGGAUAAUACUCACUUUGCUGCACCUCUGCCAACUUCAAGGAGUUUGACAGGCGUGCAGGACAGAGACCCCGAUCCAGCCGUGCCUCCUCCCCCAGGUAGCAAGAGAUCGCCUCGGAGCUGAACACCAGUGCAGGUGCGCACCGCAGCCCCGAUUUCUCCUUCGGAUGCGUGAGCCUGCAGGUUUGCCAAGGGCUGAUCCCUAAGCCCCGUGCCCACCAGUGGUUGGGGCCACAGGUCAGACUUCCCUGGGUCUCAUUGUCUCAGAACUCGUGCUGACCUCUCACUCCAGGCUCGGCACUCGCCAGCCUAUUGUCUCUGAAUGCACGCACGUCCUUCUCUCUGGCCUUAUAAAACUAUCCCUGCUUUAAAGGAACUUGCUCCUAAGCAGAAAUAACCUUGUUCAGGCACACACCUUCUGGCAAUACAGAGAAUAAACCGCGUUUGAAACCUCA